UUCGGACGUGUGCUCUCCCGUCCCUCCACCCCAAUUACUCUGGUGCCCCAGCCACUAUCCCUUCCUACCUUUCCUUUGGUUUUUAGUGCCACCUUUUGUUCCAUCCUCCCAUCAGUUUUGCAAGAAUCCCAGAGAUUUAAUCCAGUGCAGAAGGGCUCUCCUUGCUUCCAGGCGCCUUCUGGAAAGAGAACACCCUGUUGGACUCACAGGCUGCCUCGGCUCCCUUUGCCCCCGCAGCUGUGAUGACAAUCUUCUAGAGCUUCCCUGGGCAGGGAAAAAGGAAGGGGAGGUUGAUGUGCCCUGCGCAUCCAGGUGCCCCCUGCGGGGAGCUCUUGUAAACUCCUGGGUCACUGUUACCACGUGCAGUAGGUCGGUCGCACGUGCACUUCAGCUUGCCUCUUUCCAGGGUCAGCAGAUAACACUCACCCACGUUAAGGCAUGUUCUCCCCUGAGGAACCAAGACAUGGAUCCUCUAGAGGGAAAUGGAUGCGGUCUCAUUUCCUUUGUCUCCAGAUCAUCCCCCUGCCCCUUAUGCAAAUUUCCAAAACCUUUAACCAAUGAGUGAGAAGUACUGGGAAGGUGAACCCUCCUACAGCUGUAUUAGAAGGCCCUUUGGUACUGUCCUUCGGAGCUCUGGU